AUGCCGACCUCCUCGCAUGUCGUCGGCGACGGCCUCCCCUCCGGAUCCGCAUCCUCCAUCAUAUCCAGGGUCGUGAGCGGCUACCACUUGCUGAAGAUCGUCGGCUACUCGGGCACCAAGGAGAUCCCCAAUGGCGAGGGGAUCGACUCUUGCCCGUUCCGGGUGGGAGGCUGCACAUGGAAUGUACGUUACUAUCCCAACGGGUUAAGAUCUGAGUACAGUGGUUACAUAGGCCUUUUUCUCUUCUUGAAUGAUACAGUCGCCGGCGAGGCCAAGACCGUGAAGGCAAAAUUCAUGUUCAGCUUACUUGACCAACAUGGGAAGCCGGUGUCAUCGUAUACCGGUACUUCCGACACGAGGGAACUUUCUGCGCAUAAAGGUCACGGGUUUGGCGGAUUUAUGAGAAGGGUUCAAUUGGACGAAUCCGAGCAUCUCAAGGACGAUUCCUUCACGGUCAAGGUCGAUGUCACUAUCAUGAGCGAGUUCCAUACGCAGGAGACACCAUCUAUCCUGGUGCCACCAUCUGAUUUGCACCGGCACUUAGGGGUUCUUCUGUCGAGCAAGGCAGGCGUCGAUGUCAAAUUCCAAGUCGGCGGGGAGACAUUCUCGGCGCACCGAUUGGUACUUGCAGCACGGUCUCCUGUCUUCAGAGCAGAGUUCUUUGGCCAGAUGAGGGAGGGAACCACCACUGAGGCCAUACGCAUAGAUGACAUGGAGGCACCAGUGUUCAAUGCUCUGCUUACUUUCAUGUACACGGAUGCAUUGCCGGAUAUGAAGCAAGAAGAAGAAUAUGCCAUGGCUCAGCAUCUGCUUGUUGCGGCAGACAAGUACAACCUGGAAAGGCUGAAGCUUAUUUGUGAAGAUAAGCUGUGCAAUCGUAUCGAUACGAGCUCUGUGGCGACUAUCUUGGCAUUGGCCGAGCAGCGUCAGUGCCACGAGCUUAAGGCAGCAUGCUUGGUGUUCCUCAGCUCGCCGACGAAUCUGGGUGCGGCCAUGGAGUCUGAAGGUUUCGAGUUUUUAACCAAGAACUGCCCUGGUGUUAUUAAGGAUCUCCUCAAGUCCCAGGUUGCUGCUAGUAUACUUGGGAAAAGAAAUUCUAGGGCAUGA
rnacentral:rRNA from 1 species